rnacentral:rRNA from 1 species
UACAGAGGGUGCGAGCGUUGUCCGGAAUCACUGGGCGUAAAGGGCGCGCAGGCGGCUCUGAAAGUCAGAUGUGAAAGCCCCGGGCUUAACCUGGGAAUUGCAUUUGAUACUCUGGAGCUUGAGUACGGGAGAGGAGAGUGGAAUUCCCAGUGUAGAGGUGAAAUUCGUAGAUAUUGGGAAGAACACCGGUGGCGAAGGCGGCUCUCUGGACCGUAACUGACGCUGAGGCGCGAAAAGCGUGGGGAGCAAACAGGG